rnacentral:rRNA from 1 species
AUUGAACGCUGGCGGCAGGCCUAACACAUGCAAGUCGAGCGGGGUUUUCGGACCUAGCGGCGGACGGGUGAGUAAUGCGUAGGAAGCUACCCGAUAGAGGGGGAUACCAGUUGGAAACGACUGUUAAUACCGCAUAAUGUCUACGGACCAAAGUGUGGGACCUUCGGGCCACAUGCUAUCGGAUGCGCCUACGUGGGAUUAGCUAGUUGGUGAGGUAAUGGCUCACCAAGGCGACGAUCCCUAGCUGGUUUGAGAGGAUGAUCAGCCACACUGGAACUGAGACACGGUCCAGACUCCUACGGGAGGCAGCAGUGGGGAAUAUUGGACAAUGGGCGAAAGCCUGAUCCAGCCAUGCCGCGUGUGUGAAGAAGGCCUUCGGGUUGUAAAGCACUUUCAGUAGGGAGGAAGAGUUGAGUGUUAAUAGUACUCAGCUUUGACGUUACCUACAGAAGAAGCACCGGCUAACUCUGUGCCAGCAGCCGCCGUAAGAC